AUUUUAUUGUUAUUUAGACUCUCCCUCCAGCUUUUUGCAUCAGUGUCAUGUAGUUUUCAGUAAAGAAAUCUUUCACUUCUUUGGUUAAAUUUAAUUUUCAGCAUUAUAUUAUUUUUAUUCUAUUGUAAAUAGGGUUAUUUUAUUUAUUACCUUUUCAGAAAAUUUAUUGUUAGUAACACUACUGAUUUUUGCAUGUUAACUUCCACCUGCAACUUUACUGAAUUUGUUUACUAGAUCUAGCAGUUUUCUGGUGAAGUCAGGACUGUAAGGCCUGGUCCAAACAAACUUCAGGUGUUCCUACUUAGGCUUUUUGGCUGCUAAGGACCUGGAGCUACACUCAGCAGUGGGAGGGGCUAUGGAUUAGCUCUUCUGCUUGGUGAAGUAAGGGAAACCUCCAAGCUUGGCAAGGCUUUUAAUCUUUAGUCUUGAUUCAAGCUGACCUGCUCUCCAAGUUCACUGGUCGAGUACUGUCACUGACUUUGCUCUGUAGACUGCAAGUCCUGCUUGUUGUAUCCUUGGCUCAAGCAUUGUUGGGCUAUGCAGUGUCCAGGUGUUGCUGAUCAGGCUUUCAAUUUGGGAAGAAGCCAGGGAGCUUCCUUUAGCAGGGAGCCAGGCUAUGACUCAGCAACUUUGCCUGAUGACCCCUGCAUCCCACCACGUUUUCUCCCGAGACUUCCACCAUCUUGGCUCUGCAAACAGCAGAGCUACUGGCUGAGACAAUAACUUGGAUGCUGCAGAAUCAACACCCUCGCUGCUGCCUCCAGACCAGCCUGGUGCUUGGUGCUUUCCUGUGUGUCCUCUUGUGGAGUGCCAUGCCUCCUCUUCCUGGGAAGAGUAACAUCUUAUUAUUAUUUUACAUGGCCAGCACUUUCCUGACCUGCUGGCCUUACUAUAACUUGCAUUUCCAUUAAUGUACUCAACUUGAAAUCACAUCUCCAUCACAAUCUACUCAGAAAAGGUGCACAGGAGAUUCAAAGGUAGAUUGAAGAGUCAUACCACAGCUUGUGUGAAACCAACUGUGACACCUUUUAAGAUAACUUUCAAGUAUACAAUACAGUAUUAUUCACUCUAGUCACCAUGAUGCAAAUUAUAUCCCCAAACUUACUUACCCUAAAACUGUUACUUUUUCAUUUUGUUGAUCCUUUCUUUCACUGUAUAGAAGAUUUUUAGUAUGAUGGUUUUUCCUGUGGUCACGUAUGGAUGUGAGAGUUGGACUGUGAAGAAAGCUGAGCGCUGAAGAAUUGAUGCUUUUGAACUGUGGUGUUGGAGAAGACUCUUGAGAGUCCCUUGGACUG